rnacentral:rRNA from 1 species
GCGAGAACUACCAGGCUUGACAUGCUUGAAGUAGAAACUCGAAGAGGACGACCUGUAUCCAAUCAGGAGCUUGCACAGGUGCUGCAUGGCUGUCGUCAGCUCGUGCCGUGAGGUGUUAGGUUAAGUCCUGCAACGAGCGCAACCCUCGUCGCUAGUUAAUUUUCUAGCGAUACUGCCCGUAUAACGCGGAGGAAGGUGGGGAUGACGUCAAGUCAGCAUGGCCCUUACGUCCUGGGCUACACACACGCUACAAUGGGUGAUACAAAAGGUUGCAAUAGAGUGAUCUGGAGCUAAUCCUGAAAAUCAUCCUCAGUUCGGAUUGUAGGCUGAAACUGCCUGCAUGAAGUUGGAGUUGCUAGUAACCGCAGGUCAGCACACUGCGGUGAAUACGUUCUCGGGCCUU